GCCCGCCUAGCUCAAUCGGAUAGAGCGUGAGACUUUUAAGUCAUGGGCAUUUCCAGUUCACUAGAAUAUCUCAAGGCUGCGGGUUCGACCCCCGCGGUGGGCU